rnacentral:rRNA from 1 species
AUUGAACGCUGGCGGAAUGCUUUACACAUGCAAGUCGAACGGCAGCACGGGGGCAACCCUGGUGGCGAGUGGCGAACGGGUGAGUAAUACAUCGGAACGUGCCCGGUCGUGGGGGAUAACGUAGCGAAAGUUACGCUAAUACCGCAUACGAUCUGAGGAUGAAAGCGGGGGACCUUCGGGCCUCGCGCGAUCGGAGCGGCCGAUGUCAGAUUAGGUAGUUGGUGGGGUAAAGGCGUACCAAGCCGACGAUCUGUAGCUGGUCUGAGAGGACGACCAGCCACACUGGGACUGAGACACGGCCCAGACUCCUACGGGAGGCAGCAGUGGGGAAUUUUGGACAAUGGGCGCAAGCCUGAUCCAGCCAUUCCGCGUGCAGGACGAAGGCCUUCGGGUUGUAAACUGCUUUUGUAUGGAGCGAAAAGGCUCUGGCUAAUACCUGGGGCCCAUGACGGUACCGUAAGAAUAAGCACCGGCUAACUACGUG